UUUUUAUUCGACACUUCUACUUGUCACCACAACAAGGAAAAUCUCUUAAUCACGAACAACUAGUAAAUAUAUUAAAACCAACUUCUUCUUCUUCUUCUUCUUCUUUUUUUGAGAGAGAAAGAUAGCAUGUUACAUACUUCGUUUAUUUCAUUAAGAAAUAAAUUUAGCUGAAAAUAUGAAUCAACUAGGAUUCGAACUUAGGUCUCAGAAACCAACCACCAAAUACUUUUGUGACUUGCGCUAGCAACGGUCGGUAAAAAACCAACUUGUUAACACCUUGAGCACAUCAAAA
rnacentral:lncRNA from 1 species